UGCCCUCUUUUGUGCUCUGGAUCAGCAAUCGGCCACUGCAGCCUCCCUUGUGCACUGUUUGGUUGAUCGCAGCCUAGCUCCUUGCCCUAAAUCUGCCGAGCCCUAAUUUGUUCUUCACUGCCGUGCCCUAGGUUUUCCCCUUUCUGGUGAGUGAGGUUUGGUGUCAACGGGAUUAAGCUGUUGUUGGAGCUGAGGAAUCUGAUCAUUAUUCGUACACUUAGGACAUUGAUUCGAGACGGUGUCUCGACGAGGGAUCAAUUUCGGAUUGGACUUUUUGAUUGGAGGCGGGUACUUUUGACUUUUUG